CUGGGCUGGGCGGUACUGGGCCUGCUGCUGCUGCUGGGCUGGCCUGCUAGGUGCUGUUGGGCCUGGACUGGAGUAAACCAGCUGCUGGGCCUGCUGGCUUAGUGCUGGCCUGUUGGCUGGCCUGCUGUUGGCCUGCUAAAGAUGGUCUGCUUUCAUCAUUUUUUCUGCUAUUUUUUUUUGGACAGACCUGGGUGUUUUGCUGUUGGAUCCUGCUGUUUGGAGAGGGCUGUUGGAGCGCGGGUCGGGUCGGGAUGGCUCCGAGGGUCAGGUGGUCGGGUCGGGUUAACCCGACUGACUUUUAAAUUUUUUUCUUUUUUCUUUUUCUUUUUCUUUCUCUUUUUCUUUUUCUUUUUCUUCUCCCUUUUUCUUCUUCUUUUUUCUUUCUUCUUUCUUCUUCUUCGGGCAGCACCUUAACCCCACGUGCGCCUUUGAGGGUGUUUCCUCCACCUGGUACGACGGCCGGUGGUGGCACGGUGGCGAUGAAGGGAUGACUGGGCUUUCUUUUUGGACCUUUCUUUUUGCUUUUUUUCUUGUUUUUUGCUGCUGCGUUUUUGUUUUGCUUCUCUUUUUGUUUCACUUUCUCUUGGCUUCUAGGUGGUGGUACGGUGGCUGCGGUGGAGGGUAGUGGCACGACGGUGGCGAGGGCUGUUGGGCUGUUAUUGUUUGGAUUUUUUUGAAUUUUCUCUGUACUUUUUCUCCUUUCUUUUUUCGAUUCCCCUUUCUUCUCUUCCAUUUUCUUCUUUUUAAUCUCUUCAUUUUUUGUCCUCUUUCUUCUUGUCUUCAGGUGGCAGAGGAGGGCAUCAUGGCCUAGGUCAUCUGCUGAAGUAGCUGGAGGUGAGGGGAAGCACGCUCGGCUGCUGAUUGGGGGGGUCUGACGUGCCCAGAAGGACCAAAAUAUUUGGGCUAAAAAUGUAAUUUUAGGAAAAUAUGGGGCCAAAAUGUAAUUUUCAAAAAGUUUAGGGGUCAAAGUGUAAUUUUGAGAAAGUUUGGGGCCAAAAUGUAAUUUUAGCAAAGUUUGGGGUCAAAAUGUAAAUUUUUAUUUUUUGUAUUUUUUAUUUUAUUAUGACUAUUUUAUAAAUAUUUAAAGCAAACAUUAAAAAUGGGCUAAAACAAUUCUAAAAUUAAAUCCUAAUGGGCCCGAUCAUUGGGCCCAUACGAGACCGACCCGGCCCAAAAUUCAACCCGGGCAAAAUUCAGUGAUUACAGUGCGAACAAAGCGAACUGCAGCAAC
rnacentral:lncRNA from 1 species